CCUACGGGCGUCAGCAGUGGGGAAUAUUGCGCAAUGGGCGAAAGCCUGACGCAGCGACGCCGCGUGAGGGAUGAAUGUCUUCGGAUCGUAAACCUCUGUCAGCAGGGAAGAACGGUCACUGUGCUAUUCAGCAGUGAAUUUACGGUAUCUGCAAAGGAAGCACCGGCUAACUCCGGGCCAGCAGCCCCGGGAAUACGGAGGGUGCGAGCGUUAAUCGGAAUUACUGGGCGUAAAGCGCUCGUAGGCGGUAUGUCAAGUCAAGGGUGAAAUCCCCGGGCUCAACGUGGGAACUGCCUUUGAAACUGGCAAACUGGAGUGUGUGAGAGGAUAGUGGAAUUCCAGGUGUAGGAGUGAAAUGCGUAGAUAUCUGGAAGAACAUCAGUGGCGAAGGCGACUAUCUGGCACAUAACUGACGCUGAGGAGCGAAAGCGUGGGUAGCAAACAGGAUUAGAUACCCUUGUAGUC
rnacentral:rRNA from 1 species